GUGCGCCUUUUUUUUUUUUCCUUCUUAGUCGUGUGUACAUCAUUGGGAAUGGAGGGAAAUAAAUGACUGGAUGGUCGCUGCUUUUUAAGUUUCAAAUUGACAUUCCAGACAAGCGGUGCCUGAGCCCGUGCCUGUCUUCAGAUCUUCACAGCACAGUUCCUGGGAAGGUGGAGCCACCAGCCUCUCCCUGACAAGCAAAGUGGAUCAGCAAAGGCUGCAGUCACCAGCAUCUUUUCCAACCUUAAUGAACUGUAUCCUCAAAAGAACACUAUCAGACUGGCUCUGCCGACUUCCAGUUCUGGAACAAGAUGGUUAAACUCAUUUUUCCCUGCUCUGCUCCUCUAAAUACAACUAAGUACCUUGGAAACUAUUCAGCAGACAAUGAUAAAGGGCUCUGAAAGCUAGAAGAAAAGGUGUACUUGCAAGAAACCUCAGGACUUGAGUAACAGCAACAUGAACAAUCCAUUUCACAGAUGAAGAAACAGACUCAGUGAGCACGUGAUCACUUCUCACAACUAAUGGAGCCAAGAUUCUGUCCUUAUGGCUCCAGAGACCUCUUUUUUUUCCCACUGUACCACAACACUCACCAGGACUGGAGUGCCACCUAUGACCUCAUUGCAUAAUGGAUGGCUUGUCCUCAAAUGGGCCCGGUCUUGGACGAGCCUGAGGAUGUCUACAAGUGGAAGAAAAGAAGCCACUGGAGCAGAAGGUGGGGAGGAUAAAAUUUGGAGCAAGAUUCUCAAGGAAGCAACAAGAUCCUAAGAUGUAGACUGAUGCACGUUCAGCCACAAUCAAGAUGCAGAACUGUGCCAUCACAACAAAGUUCUCCCUCAUGCUGUCCCUUUAAAGUCACAUCCACUGCUCCCCCAUGACCCCACCCAUAACUAACCCCUGGCAACCAUUACUCUGGUCUCCAGUUCUACAAUUUUGUAAUAGUGAGCAUUUUACAUAAAUGGAAUUAUACAAUA
rnacentral:lncRNA from 1 species